AGGGAAUAGGCUUGGCACGACCUUGACAAAGAGAAGCUUGGCAUUGUUGGUUAGUAAGUGCUUGGCAUGAGCAUGUAUAGGGCUUGGCGUGCCCCUUCCAGUCUUUUGGUCGUAAUUCCGAUUACCAUUGUGUUUAGCUUGGUGUAGGCUUGGAGUAUGCAUUGGCUUGUCGCAAUUAUAACUUAGCAUUUGAAUCAAGUUAGAUUACACGCAUGAUGAAUUCAUGACAAGAGUUCUCUCAAGUACGACCGGAUUGAACAAGUAAAAUAGAGUGGUGUAUGCACGGGCUUGUGUGAGAUUGCUGCUUUUUAAUUCGGUGAAACUGUGAAAGUACUUUGACCGAGUUUUUCAAUAAGAAUUUGGCUCUCUCUUCAUGUCGUUUGGUCUGAUAAAAGAGGAGGCAAGGCUAAAUUCCAUCUUUCCUCACCAAAUCGGAGACCAAGAGCUGCUUAGAGGAACGCAAGCUUUGCAAUACAGCACCAUAGUUGAUCAAUUGGGGAAAAUUCGUCUUCAUGGCUAACGUUCCAUGGGAGGAUUGCAUAUUCAGUUAUGAGCAUGAUUUAGGCAUGAACAUUUCAAUCGAUCAAUGAGCAGGCAUCUUCAUUCACCGCGGUGAUCACCGCAGCCUAUAGCCAUGAGCUUGACUGUAAUUGCAGAGACCUCAAACCUCAAAGCCCUGCAGCAAUUGGCGAUGAGUUGGCCUUAUGCGCGAAACCUCCAUGUCUAUUGACGAGAUUGAGGUGGAAUUAUGAUUAGAGCCAUCAGACUAUGCUUGGACACUUCAAUGCUUGACACCCUCUGAGUUACAACUUUUGGAAUUGCAACAAUUAUUUCGGUUUGAGAAAGACUUGUGAUAAUGACCUUGGUUUGGCAUCAGGCUUGUUUUGCGUAUAAAAUUGGAUAUUAUGUAUGGAGCUGAGCAUUGUGGGCAAUGUGAAUGAGAUUUGUACAGUAGAAUAGUCACUGCAGUGGAAAGUUUUGGCUACAAUAUGGAGUUUACUAUAAUAUAGAAAGUGUGAGAUAAAUUUGGGAGCUGCGGGGUGAAAUAAACUACAGAUCAGACCAUAAUGUGUCAACCUAUACAGUUGUACAUAGGCUAGCAUUGGUUCUCUGUAUCCGGGACAUGCUCUUGUAUAAAAUCUUUGAAGUGUUGCUUGAAGGGUAUAUGCUUGAACAACAAUAUGGGAUGACCAUGGACUAAAUUUCCACAGUAAUCUUGAACAUGAUCAUAACCAAUUAGCCCCCAAGUGUAAUAACAUACGAUUUGAGAGAAAAAUGAAGUUUCUUGUUGCUUGGAA